UGAGGAACAUGACCUCCGGCGGGGGAUAGCCGGGCCCAACGGCCGGGUAAUACCGCGUACGACCUUUCGGGGACAUCCCCGGCUGGUGAAAGCAGCAAUGCACCGAAGGAGUGCCUCGCGGCCUAUCAGCUAGUUGGUGAGGUAACGGCUCACCAAGGCGACGACGGGUAGCUGGUCUGAGAGGAUGGCCAGCCACAUUGGGACUGAGACACGGCCCAGACUCCGUACGGGAGCAGCAGG
rnacentral:rRNA from 1 species